rnacentral:rRNA from 1 species
AUUGAACGCUGGCGGCAGGCCUAACACAUGCAAGUCGAACGGUAACAGGAAGAAGCUUGCUUCUUUGCUGACGAGUGGCGGACGGGUGAGUAAUGUCUGGGAAACUGCCUGAUGGAGGCGGAUAACUACUGGAAACGGUAGCUAAUACCGCAUAACGUCGCAAGACCAAAGAGGGGGACCUUCGGGCCUCUUGCCAUCGGAUGUGCCCAGAUGGGAUUAGCUAGUAGGUGGGGUAACGGCUCACCUAGGCGACGAUCCCUAGCUGGUCUGAGAGGAUGACCAGCCACACUGGAACUGAGACACGGUCCAGACUCCUACGGGAGGCAGCAGUGGGGAAUAUUGCACAAUGGGCGCAAGCCUGAUGCAGCCAUGCCGCGUGUAUGAAGAAGGCCUUCGGGUUGUAAAGUACUUUCAGCGGGGAGGAAGGGAGUAAAGUUAAUACCUUUGCUCAUUGACGUUACCCGCAGAAGAAGCACCGGCUAACUCCGUG